CCGUUUUUAGUUCGUGGGCAUGACCUGUCUGGUUUAUUCCGAUAACGAGCGAGACUUGCCAGCUAAAUAGCUGUUCCGUGAUGUUUCACGGAAAGAAUCUUCGAGGAACAAGCCAUUUCGAGCCGCACGAAAAAGAGCAAAAACAGGUCAGUGAUGCCCUUAGAUGUCCGGGGCCGCAAGCGCAAUACAAUGAAGGCGACAGCGUGUGCUUUUUUCCCUUGUCGAGAGGUCCGGCCAACCCGAUGAAAUGCCUUCGUGCUGGGGAUAGGGACUGUAACUGGCCCCUUGAACGAGGAAUCUCCAGUAGGCUCGAGUCAUUAACUCGUGCCGACAGUACCAACACUUUGUACACGCUGCCCGUCGUUAAUACCGAUUGAAUGGUUCUGUGAGGUUUGCGGACCUGCGCUUCCGUUCCUUAAUGGACACGAGGUGUCAGAAAGAUGAUCGAACUCUAUCACUUAGAGGAAUUACAAGUUGUAAUAAGGUUUCCGUAGGUGAACCUGCGGAAGGAUCAUU
rnacentral:rRNA from 1 species